AUGCAGUCGAGCGGGGUGAUGGUGCUUGCACUAUCACCUAGCGGCGGACGGGUGAGUAAUGCUUAGGAAUCUGCCUAUUAGUGGGGGACAACAUUUCGAAAGGAAUGCUAAUACCGCAUACGUCCUACGGGAGAAAGCAGGGGAUCUUCGGACCUUGCGCUAAUAGAUGAGCCUAAGUCGGAUUAGCUAGUUGGUGGGGUAAAGGCCUACCAAGGCGACGAUCUGUAGCGGGUCUGAGAGGAUGAUCCGCCACACUGGGACUGAGACACGGCCCAGACUCCUACGGGAGGCAGCAGUGGGGAAUAUUGGACAAUGGGCGCAAGCCUGAUCCAGCCAUGCCGCGUGUGUGAAGAAGGCCUUAUGGUUGUAAAGCACUUUAAGCGAGGAGGAGGCUACUUUAGAUAAUACCUAGAGAUAGUGGACGUUACUCGCAGAAUAAGCACCGGCUAACUCUGUGCCAGCAGCCGCGGUAAUACAGAGGGUGCAAGCGUUAAUCGGAUUUACUGGGCGUAAAGCGCGCGUAGGCGGCUAAUUAAGUCAAAUGUGAAAUCCCCGAGCUUAACUUGGGAAUUGCAUUCGAUACUGGUUAGCUAGAGUGUGGGAGAGGAUGGUAGAAUUCCAGGUGUAGCGGUGAAAUGCGUAGAGAUCUGGAGGAAUACCGAUGGCGAAGGCAGCCAUCUGGCCUAACACUGACGCUGAGGUGCGAAAGCAUGGGGAGCAAACAGGAUUAGAUACCCUGGUAGUCCAUGCCGUAAACGAUGUCUACUAGCCGUUGGGGCCUUUGAGGCUUUAGUGGCGCAGCUAACGCGAUAAGUAGACCGCCUGGGGAGUACGGUCGCAAGACUAAAACUCAAAUGAAUUGACGGGGGCCCGCACAAGCGGUGGAGCAUGUGGUUUAAUUCGAUGCAACGCGAAGAACCUUACCUGGCCUUGACAUAGUAAGAACUUUCCAGAGAUGGAUUGGUGCCUUCGGGAACUUACAUACAGGUGCUGCAUGGCUGUCGUCAGCUCGUGUCGUGAGAUGUUGGGUUAAGUCCCGCAACGAGCGCAACCCUUUUCCUUAUUUGCCAGCGAGUAAUGUCGGGAACUUUAAGGAUACUGCCAGUGACAACUGGAGGAAGGGGGGACAACUUCAGUCAUCAGGGCCUUACGGCC
rnacentral:rRNA from 1 species